CCUACGGGAGGCAGCAGUGGGGAAUAUUGGGCAAUGGAGGCAACUCUGACCCAGCAACGCCGCGUGAAUGAUGAAGGUCUUCGGAUUGUACAGUUCUGUGAUGGGGGAUGAACACAAUGACGGUACCCCAAUAGCAAGCCACGGCUAACUACGUGCCAGCAGCCGCGGUAAUACGUAGGUGGCAAGCGUUAUCCGGAAUGACUGGGCGUAAAGGGUGCGUAGGUGGUUUAGUAAGUUGGCGGUGUAAUUCCGGGGCGCAACCUCGGCGCUACCGCCAAAACUAUUAGACGAGAGUGCAGGAGGGGUAAGUGGAAUGCCUAGUGUAGCGGUGGAAUGCGUAGAUAUUAGGAGGAACAGCAGGGGCGAAGGCGACUUACUGGACUGUAACUGACACUGAGGCACGAAAGCGUGGGGAGCAAACAGGAUUAGAUACCCGAGUAGUC
rnacentral:rRNA from 1 species